rnacentral:rRNA from 1 species
AUUGAACGCUGGCGGCAUGCCUUACACAUGCGAGUCGAACGGCAGCACGGGAGCAAUCCUGGUGGCGAGUGGCGAACGGGUGAGUAAUAUAUCGGAACGUGCCCAGUAGUGGGGGAUAACUGCUCGAAAGUGCAGCUAAUACCGCAUACGACCUGAGGGUGAAAGGGGGGGAUCGCAAGACCUCUCGCUAUUGGAGCGGCCGAUAUCAGAUUAGCUAGUUGGUGGGGUAAAGGCCUACCAAGGCAACGAUCUGUAGUUGGUCUGAGAGGACGACCAGCCACACUGGGACUGAGACACGGCCCAGACUCCUACGGGAGGCAGCAGUGGGGAAUUUUGGACAAUGGGCGCAAGCCUGAUCCAGCAAUGCCGCGUGCAGGAAGAAGGCCUUCGGGUUGUAAACUGCUUUUGUCAGGGAAGAAAUCCUCUAGGUUAAUACCCUUGGGGGGAUGACGGUACCUGAAGAAUAAGCACCGGCUAACUACGUGCCAGCAGCCGCGGUAAAAC